AACGAACGCUGGCGGCAUGCCUAAUACAUGCAAGUCGAACGAUCUCUUCGGAGAUAGUGGCGCACGGGUGCGUAACGCGUGGGAAUCUGCCCUUGGGUUCGGAAUAACGUCGGGAAACUGACGCUAAUACCGGAUGAUGACGUAAGUCCAAAGAUUUAUCGCCCAGGGAUGAGCCCGCGUAGGAUUAGCUAGUUGGUGGGGUAAAGGCCUACCAAGGCGACCAUCCUUAGCUGGUCUGAGAGGAUGAUCAGCCACACUGGGACUGAGACACGGCCCCGGCUCCUGCCGGAGGCAGCAUUAGGGAGUAUUUGACACUGAGGGCAACCCUGUUCCAGCAAUGCAGCGUGAGUGAUGAAGGCCUUAGGGUUGUAAAGCUCUUUUACCCGAGAUGAUAAUGACAGUAUCGGGAGAAUAAGCUCCGGCUAACUCCGUGCCAGCCGCCGCGGUAAUAC
rnacentral:rRNA from 1 species